ensembl:lncRNA
CUGGUUUGGUGCCCUGCCAGGAUAUGCUACCAAAUAAUUAUUCUCAUCCACUGUGGGAUAAAAAUAAUCAAGUUAAUUUAAAUGUUUUCAAACGUACUAGGAGAGAAGGACUUAUGCUAUCACCAUGCAGUCAGUGUUCAGGAACAAUGGAAACUUACGUGGUGGGAAGUGAACAAGGCUGUGGCUGACCCAACACCACCCAGCAGCUCUCAAGCUCCAUGUGAGCUGCAGUGCAUAAGGUCCUCUGCCUAAGCCUGAUCUGGUGGCCUUCUACAAUGGAGUGACAACAUCAGUGGACAAAGUAAGGGCAACUGAUAUUGUGUACCUGGACUACUGCAAGGCCUUUGACAUGGUUCCACACCACAUCUUUAUAUCGAAAUUGGAGAGGUUCCCAGUAUAUAGGUUACAUGGGAAUACUGACUCUUUGGAAACAAAAUAUAAUUUGAAAUGAUUGGAAAUAGAACACCUUUCCUGCAAGAAAGGUUAAAGACUGUCAGAAGCUUGUGAAAAGAAGUCCUACAUCUAAGAUUUUACUUUAAAUCCAAUAUUCAGUGUAUUCAUGUUUACAGUGAAUAUCAGAAGAAAACAUUGGAGAAGAAGGGCUGAGAAGACUCGUGUUUAAUCUGAGAACCAAUAAAAGCAAGCCAAAUAUACAAUUUAUUUAAUUUUUCUCACAUCUCACCUCAGGAAUCCUC